CAUUUGAGCUAGCCCGGUCACGGAAAUUUCUAGCAGAGUUGGUUCUGCUAGAAUCCUGCUAGAAUCAUUCCAACAGGUCUGCCAGAUUUCUGUAAGAAUUUUGUGAGAACUUUCUGACAGAAGCAAAUCUGUCGAAAAUGAUGUCAUUUCGCCAAACCACGUUGGGGCGAAUGUGGUUACCGCCAUUACCAUUUUGUAAUUGAACUUGUUCAAUCAAGUUUACUUUUUUUUGGGAGUUGCCACGGAAGAAGCCUAAUUUUGGAAUUGAAUCGAUGCAUUAAUAAAGGCUCAAAAUGUCCCCAAAACGCGAAAUCCAGAUCGCUGUUUACGGUGGCCGGGGAACACAGCUCCCCAUCGACGACGACACGUGGAGCAUCCCAGGAAACAACAACAUUCCAAAUGUUCCACCACGGAAUUUUUAUCUGGAGACAACACCGACAAGAAGAUUGAAUAAAAGCGUCCAGAAUACGAGCAACGAAGAUUAAAAGUUCACAAGUGAAAACAGUGAAAAGUGUGUGCAUGUUGUAAGAGGUGAUUUGAUUGAAUA